CGAUUCUUCUUCUUCCUCCUCUUUCCUCUUUCUCUUCAAUUCUCUCUUUUUAUUGCAAUGUGAACGGUGCCAGAGAUGGAGACCGAAGGUGGAGGCGCAGGCGAAGUAGGUUGCUUAACGAGGUGGAGGUAGGAUCUAGGUUCAUUUGGGGACUAGCUUCUUCGAAGUGGGCAACUCGACAAACAUGGGCGAUUGGUUUCUUCGUUAUAGGCCAGAGUAGUUUGGGUGGUUGGCAUUUGAGACAAAGUUUUCUUCAGCUGAAGUCAACGAUUGACAUUCACUCAGAAUCUUCGACCAAGACUUUGAAGUCAAACGACUUUGGCGCAGAGCAGAGGGGCGAAGAGAUCCGAGGACUCACGAACGAAGCUAACAAAGGCUUGGGGAAGAGUUGCUCGAUGAGGAGUGAGAAGAUUUGGGUUCAUUUGGGGAGGAGUUGGCCUUGUCGACAGGGACUCACGAAGGCUUGAUUUGAGUAGCUUCAACAGAGACUCAUAAACACGACUUCAAUUUGGAUUUUUCGAGGAAGUGGGUGAACGACGAAGAUUCACAGACGUGGCUACAAUUUGGGAUUUGAUUUGAGAGGAUGGCUGCCUCGAAAUUUGUUGAUGUUCUUGGUUCAUGGGUUCUUAGUUCGUCGACCAUGGAGGUGGCACGAGAUUGGUGAGGAUGUGAGAACGGCCGACGAGCGUAGGAGUGGAAGAGGUGGGGGUCAGCCAGAGAGAAAAAUCCAAAUCUAUUUCCAAAUUUUGUUAGCAAAUAAAACAAUUCCAGAUCUGUUUUGUUAUCAGUUUUGAAAUAUAAAAUUUGUGUAUGGGCUUA